GACGCUUUUAAAUUUUCGAAAGUUAUAAUCAAGAAGUUCAAGAAACACAACUUCUCAACCGUCACCGUUGAAGGCCGUCUUUUUUCCCGCCGAGUGCUAUCGGAGGAGGGGAAAUCUGAGGGAAAGCACCCUCUCUCGCUCUCUCUCGAUGGGAGCGAGGCUGGAUCCUCGAUGGUGCCGAGAAUGGAGGAGGAUGCAGAUUGCGUGCCUGGGUUGCCACAGUUCAUCCUUUACAAUUCGCUACUUGCCUCUGAUGGUGGAGUAAGACUGGAACGGGGGCAUCUAAAAGGUCGAGAGACAAAGGAGCCAAGUGGUGACACUGCAAUAAUUCGCGAGAUUUUUUGCGUUUCAAGCGAGUCACGAAUAUUUCACGGAAUCAAAGCGUUCGAGGGGGCGACGGGAGAGAGAGGUUUUCGAGAGGGUUUGGGAGAGAUUGCCGUCAUCCUCCGAAACCGCCACAUCUUUGCACAUCUCGUCCUCUGCUGGGCCAACUUCCUCAACCUCAUCACCGCCGGUGACAACAUCUCAUCGCACCACCACGUUUCCUGGUUCAUGGUUUGGGGAAUCGUUCCCAAUAUCCGCACAAGCACAAGCGCAUGUUAGGACUUCACUACAUGGGAGUUGCCCUGGAAUAAAAGGUGAAAACGGGGUCAUGGGCAAGUAUGCUGCUGGUGGAGAGCUCAAACCACCAGUCGACUAACUCAGUGACUGUUACCUAGCUUGUGCAUCUUAACGCACCUCCUGGUAACCUGGCAUUUGAUGGGUUCACUGGUGCGACUCAAGGUAAGACAGUUGAAAUGACAACCAAAUGCUCUGUGCGUUUACAAAGGGAAGUUUGUCUAUUUUGCAAAAAACUGCCUGCAUAAUGAUUUAGUACGUUUCUUUUCCAAAUGAAAGAACUUGGGGAUAACACCAAUUAUCUAUUUGCAAAGAACUGGUUUAUGUUACUGGAAGCUGUACAUGCUUCGGAAUGGGAGGCAAUGCAUGGACUAUAACUUACAUGUGUGAACGGGGGGGGGGGGGUGAUUUGCCUUUGCCAUGGUGGGCAUGUUGUGUAGAUUUCAUGGGCAUAGAGAGAGUGUGUUUUUCUUAUUUUUUCUUUACUUGAUCUUUUUAUUUCAACGAAACAACUGCAAGCUUGUUUCCAAUAAAUCUGUCCCUUGGGGAACAUAAGAUGAGGCUAUCCUCCAAGAGUUUACUAGAUUUGGUUGUUCACAGGUUUAAAAGCAAUCUUUGUAGGAAUCUCGUUAUUGUAGGAUAUGGUUGUCAAAUGUCUUGUUUUGCCUAAUCAUAAAUCAUUGGCAUUUUGGAUGUACAUGAAGUUCAUCCAACUCUUUGUAGGCACUGGGGGCCAAAUUAGAGCUCUAUAGAUGAGGCUGUUGUCAGGCUUGAAUGUGCCAAUGAAUGGACCAACAUGUGGCUACUUAGCAAUGGCUUGUCUAUUAGCCCUGCUUUUAGUCUCCCUAGAGUAUUAUGCAUACAUUCUUUCAGUUGGCAUGUGCUGUUGCAUGUAAGUUUCAGUUGAUCAAGAAUAUAUAUAUUCUUGAUGGGUGGUGAAUCCUGCAAAUGCUCCUUCAGUUGUUGGCAAGCUUUUAGACGAUGAGUGUCCUGAAGAUUUUAUCAAAGGCCUUAUACUCUUGGUUUCUUCUUUUCUUCAUGUUAAGACCCUUGUAGGUAAGUCGAGAAGAGGUAAUUCUUCUCUCUCUCUCUCUCUCAAUAUUUGAAUGUUUACAUUUGCAAGAUCAACCCAGCUAAAAUCUUGCCGCUUUUUGAUGAACCCGCUUACAUGGCCCGGGUAACAGGUCAUUAUAUUGGGUGAUAUUUGCGGGAGGGAAAUUCUUUCAAGUCUGUGAUGGACGUUUGGAAAUUGAAAUCAUGCAGGAAGUGGUGUUUGAAGCAUGGAAAAGUUGCAAGGAGAUGGUGUUGAAGGAGUUCUUGCAUGCACAUGGUCAUGUGGGUGGUUCUCCAUUGGAGUGUUCCGAAGCUUUUCCAAGAAUUGGUCAUUUGAGAGUGAAAAGUAGAGGGAUUGUUCUCACUCUGAAAGGACCAUGAUUAGAUCUGGACCCAUGAAGAUGAUAGAAGGCAAAAUAGAAUAUGGAUUCAGAAAAUUCAAGCACAUGUUUACUGCUUACAAAAUCCGAUAUGAUGAUGUUGAUCUUCUGGCAAUUCGUUAGAACGAGGAAGGAGAGUACAGCGGCCUGGAGCAUCAGGUUGUUAGAGGUGUUGUUGAAAGUCUCAAAAUCAUUACCAGACAAGCUAGUCUGACAUUUGCAGAAUAUGCUUUCCACUAUGGUAAAACCCAUGGAAGAAAAAAAGUUUCCCCCAUACACAAAGCCAGCAAUAGGAGGAAGACUGAUGGACUUUUUCUUAAGUGCUACCGAGAGGUAGCAGAAAAGUAUCCAGAGAUCAAUUAUGAGGAAGUCACCAUUGAUAAUUGCUGUAUGAUGCUUGUGAAAAAUCCUUCUCUUUUUGAUGUGUUGAUGAUGCGAAACCUUUGUGGAGACAUUAUGAGUGGAUCUUUGUGCCGCAUUGAUUGGAGGAUUGGGUUUGACGCCAAGCUGUAAUAAUGGUGAGGGUGGUAUUGCACUGGCUGAAGCUGUGCAUGGUUCAUGCUGGCAAGGUGAGAACUCUGUACAUGUACAUGCCUAUGCAUUAGCCAGCUUCAUCUCAUCACACUGGUUUUUGUGUCUCGCUGUUGCUACAUUUCAAAUCUCUACGGAAUUAGUUCUUAACUUAGGCUGUCCAUGACACCUCACAUAUUCAGAAGUUGUUUGGCAAGAUGAAGUAAUUUAAUUCUGUGUCUGUCUUAUCUUCACCUCUGAUUACUACUUUUCACAAUCACCUUUGAUCGAUCAUUGCAGCAUCAAGAGAGUUUGACUCAACAUUCAGAGAGGACCAUGUCCAAUGUAGUGAGUUUAGGAGUACUGCAGCUCACACAGCUGUUCACAAUCAAGGUCAUUUAAUGUUAUCAAGGAAUCUUGCAGCUCUUAUAUCCAAUCCAGUCAUAGCUUGUUAUAUCUUUA